CAGGCCUAACACAUGCAAGUCGAACGGUAACAGGUUAAGCUGACGAGUGGCGAACGGGUGAGUAAUAUAUCGGAACGUGCCCAGUCGUGGGGGAUAACUACUCGAAAGAGUAGCUAAUACCGCAUACGACCUGAGGGUGAAAGCGGGGGAUCGCAAGACCUCGCGCGAUUGGAGCGGCCGAUAUCAGAUUAGGUAGUUGGUGGGGUAAAGGCCCACCAAGCCAACGAUCUGUAGCUGGUCUGAGAGGACGACCAGCCACACUGGGACUGAGACACGGCCCAGACUCCUACGGGAGGCAGCAGUGGGGAAUUUUGGACAAUGGGCGCAAGCCUGAUCCAGCCAUGCCGCGUGCGGGAAGAAGGCCUUCGGGUUGUAAACCGCUUUUGUCAGGGAAGAAAAGGUUCUGGUUAAUACCUGGGACUCAUGACGGUACCUGAAGAAUAAGCACCGGCUAACUACGUGCCAGCAGCCGCGGUAAU
rnacentral:rRNA from 1 species